ACGCGGCCACGUGGACGGAGGCGAUCUCCGCUGCGGGGGUGGAUCCCGGGCCAACUGCGGGAGCGCGCGGCUUUAGAUUUCGUCGGAUCUCGGGCGGAGCGGGCCCCACCCCCACACCCUCCCCACCUCCACUUGCUCCACGUCACCUCCCCCCGUCUCCUCCCCCGUUAUCUACCGCCUCCUCUCACCACCACCGCCUCCUCCUCCUCCUCCGCCUUCCGCCUCUCACCACCACGGCUUCCAGCUCUGGCCGUAGCAGCAGCAGCGCGCGCGCGGGUGCCUGUGCCCGCCGCUGCUCACGGCUCCUCGCCGCCGGCUUGUGCCUCCGAUACGGGGUGCGAGGGGGUCUGGAAACCGGCGGAUCUCGGCCGCUCGCCGCCGGAGUCCGGCACGGGUGGAGGAAUCCAAGUAGCUGACUGGGUGCAGCAUAUGCUUUUUCUAACGUUGGGCGUAUGA
rnacentral:lncRNA from 1 species